ACACUCCUACGGGAGGCAGCAGUGGGGAAUAUUGGACAAUGGGCGCAAGCCUGAUCCAGCCAUGCCGCGUGAGUGAUGAAGGCCCUAGGGUUGUAAAGCUCUUUCACCGGUGAAGAUAAUGACGGUAACCGGAGAAGAAGCCCCGGCUAACUUCGUGCCAGCAGCCGCGGUAAUACGAAGGGGGCUAGCGUUGUUCGGAUUUACUGGGCGUAAAGCGCACGUAGGCGGACUAUUAAGUCAGGGGUGAAAUCCCGGGGCUCAACCCCGGAACUGCCUUUGAUACUGGUAGUCUUGAGUUCGAGAGAGGUGAGUGGAAUUCCGAGUGUAGAGGUGAAAUUCGUAGAUAUUCGGAGUAACACCAGUGGCGAAGGCGGCUCACUGGCUCGAUACUGACGCUGAGGUGCGAAAGCGUGGGGAGCAAACAGGAUUAGAAACCCCAGUAGUCCCAUGA
rnacentral:rRNA from 1 species